AGCGAACGCUGGCGGUAGGCCUAAUACAUGCAAGUCGAACGGCAGCAUACUAAGAGCUUGCUCGUACGAGUGUCGAGUGGCGGAGGGGUGUGGAAUACAUCGGAACCUACUUUUUCGUGGGGGAUAACGUAGGGAAACUUACGCUAAUACCGCAAAUGACCUACGGGUGAAAGCAGGUGAUUUUCGGACGUUUUUCGUAUGAAUGAGCCGAUGUCGGAUUAGCUAGUUGGCGGGGUAAAGGCCCACCAAGGCGACGAUCCGUAGCUGAUCUGAGAGGAUGAUCAGCCACACUGGAACUGAGACACGGUCCAGACUCCUACGGGAGGCAGCAGUAGGGAAUAUUGCGCAAUGGGCGCAAGCCUGAUGCAGCAAUACCGCGUGAGUGAAGAAGGACUUCGGGUUGUAAAGCCCUUUUGUUAGGGAAGAAUGGCUGCGGAUUAAUAACACACUGUACUGACGGUACCUAAAGAGAAAGCAACGGCUAACUUCGUG
rnacentral:rRNA from 1 species